ACGCUCGACACCUAUGGGAGGCAGCAGUGGGGAAUAUUGCACAAUGGGGGAAACCCUGAUGCAGCGACGCCGCGUGAGCGAAGAAGUAUUUCGGUAUGUAAAGCUCUAUCAGCAGGGAAGAAACUGACGGUACCUGACUAAGAAGCACCGGCUAAAUACGUGCCAGCAGCCACGGUAAUCUGAGCGGCUGGCAAGGC
rnacentral:rRNA from 1 species